rnacentral:lncRNA from 1 species
AUAUGGUCUCGAUCUGUUGCCCAGGCUGGAGUGCAAUGGCACAACCACAGCUCACUGCAACUGGAACUCCUAGGCUCAAGCGAUCCUCCAGCAUCAGCCUCCUGCAUAACUGGGAUUACAGAGACUUCACGGUAAAGGAAGAAAAUAAAUACCCACCCGCAACGAUGAACAGAAUGGAAGGGGCCAUUGGUGAAUGAGUGUUAUCAAUGAAUUUCUAGGAGAUAGAAAACUGGUGGAGGAGAGGUAACUGGAGAAACAAGAAAAACUGCAGCCUCACUGGCCACAAAGAUGGAGAUUCUGACGCCCAGAGAUGGGAAGGGGCUUUCUGAAGGUCACACAGCACAAAGAUGAUAAAGCAACAGCCACAGCCCUGCCAGGAUGAAUCAAGGAGCUGAGCUUGGGAGUAAAACCAAAGUGCAAGUCUGACUUUACAGAAGUGGAGAGGGAAAUGGCAGCCUCAGGGAAACCUGGCCUGGUGAGGGGGUGUCCCCACUGGCUCUCCGGUGCCACUGGGUUUGCUCCCAGGAUCUUACUGCCUUCUGUGUGCAGUCCUGCACCCCUGGGCGAAGACUUCUCAUUUACUCUCUUCCUUCUCCACAUGCAAGUCAAACUGUUCCCUGCCUAAGCAAAGUCAAAUGGAAUCAGCCUGAAAAUGCUAGAGAAUAACAAAAAAGCACCCCCUGAAGCUAAAUCCAGACCAACGGCCAUUCAUCCAUCCAUCCAUUCAUUCACUGAGCAACAACAAACACUUAUUAGGAAAUAAUAACACUAGUGUUGAUUGAGCCAGGCACUGUGCUACAUCCUUACAUCAAUUACUGUACUUGCCCCUCACAACAAUUCUAGGAGGAAAAAACUGUUAUCCCCAUUUCACAGGCAAGUAAACUGAGGCACAGGGUGACGAAGGCAUGUUCCAAAGUCAGACUCGAGUUUGCCUACAACUGAGGGUAGUGUCACUGCAGCUUUCUUUUCUUUCCUAUUUUUUCUGCCCUUUUCUCCACUUUUUUUUUUUUUAAUUUUUUUUAUUUUUGCUCUGUCACCCAGGCUGGAGUGAAGAGGCGCGAUCUCUGCUCACUGCAACCUCUGCCUCCCGGGCUCAAGCAGUUCUCCUGCCUCAGCCUCCCUAGUAGCUGGGAUGACAGGCAGGCGGGCACCACCACACCUGGCUAAUUUUUUGUAUUUUUAGUAGAGAUGGGGUUUCAUCAUGUUGGCCAGGCUGGUCUCGAAUCCCUGACCUCAGGUGAUCCACCCUCCUUGGCAUCCCAAAGUGCGGGAUUACAGGCGUUAGCCACCACGCCCAGCCCCUUUUCCACAUGCUCUAAUCUCACUGAAACUUUCUGCUUUCUGUCUAGAACCCAACUUUUUCUAUGAGGGGCUACAUCUUCCAGCUGCCAAUUCAGAAGACUCAAUUAUGCUUAAGUUGGAACCAGGACAACCCGCCUCAUGCAGGGUUCCAUCUGCAAAGUCCUUGAGCACCAGUGCUCGUGAUCUCUGCUCAUCCAAGGGGGAGGGACCACUGCCCCAUUUCACUCGUGGAGAGACUGAGGUCACAGGGAGAGUCCGCACGAAGCUGGGCCUCAGACCUGGCUCUGCUGCUCUGGGGCCUGUGUUCACUGUGGACGAGAGGGUUUCUGGAAGUCCCUUCGACUCCUACAAACACACGCGCAGCUUUGGGACCCCACCUCACCUCCCCGGCUGACAAGAAUCAGAGAAGGGACUGCAGGGUCUUGAAGUUAACUCACUUCUCUCAGCCCUACCGUGGGCAGGCCCUGUGCUCAGCACCUUAGCUGCACUGUCUUAUUUAAUCCCCUUCACUGUGCCCAUUCUUGUGGGCUCUGAGCUCUGCUUGUGCCAUGGGAAACCCCAAAAGUCUGGACAGGAGUGAGGUUAACACAUAGGAACAACAGAGAAAGUGGGACAGUCGCUAACUGCAAGGUGCAGGGGACAUGAGUGAGAUGGGAUGACUAUGUAACUCACCAGUGCUCCCAGCCCCACCCCACAUCCCAUCAAAAGAACUUUCUCUUCACCUGUGAACUCUCUCCCCUCAGUCUACCCCUACCCUCUGAGCUGAGCCCAGUCCCAAGAUGUCUUGGUAUCAAAUCUGAAGAACUGGUAGCAGAGGCGGGACCUGAGGGUCCAUAGGAGAGGACUUGGUUGAUCUGGGUAGCAAAGUCCCAACACUGGGGCAGGAAAAAGGUGACACAGACACCGAGCAGGGUCUGAGGUCUGGGGAGGGACAGACCCUCAGGCAGCCGCAGGAUGUGAGAGAGAAUGGGUAAGGGCAGAGGAGGGUUUGGAAAAAUGUCUGCUCCAAGAUAUAAAUGGUUGUUGGGGAUCAAAAGUUGGAAUGACACAGUGGCCAGGGCAGGCUUCUGGGGCCCCACAUCUGCAGAAACUCAGCCACAUGGUGCCAGCGAACUCAGCAUGUAAGAGGGAGGCAAAAAAAUUAGGGAGGACUUCUUGGAGGAAAUGGGACUUGAGCUGAGCCUUGAAUGAUGGGCAAGACUUGGAAGGCUAAGAAAAGACGGUUCUAGUGAGGUCACAGAGGGAGCAAAGCUCAGGUGGAGCCUGGCAGGUGGGGGUGAGGAUGCAAGGACCACCCUCCAGCCACACGACAUCAAUGGAGGCCCAGCAGGUGGGACCCUUAAGACAGUGGACCAGGAAAAUUAGGCCGAGACAUACAGACCUGAAGCAGCAAGACAGAGGGACAGUGAUGCUAUGGAACAUUUUGGGGUGGGCAGUAACAUGAUAAAGUUAGCAUUUAGGAAUGAAUGGAAGUGAUUACCUGGGGUGGGGGGAUUGGUGCAGAGAGGAUACAAAGUGAAUUCUGGGAUGCUGGAGGUAAGUGUUUUAUGUCUUGGGUGGUGUCACAAGAGUGUAUGUGUAUGUUCAAAUUCCAUAGGCUGAGCAGGGCACAGUGGCUCACGCCUGUAAUCCCAGCACUUUGGGAGGCUGAGGCAGGUGGAUCACCUGAGGUCAGGAGUUCGAGACCAGCCUGGCCAACAUGGCGAAACCCGGUCUCUACUAAAAAAUACAAAAAAUAGCCAGGUGUGGUAGCACACACCUGUAAUCCCAGCUACUCAGGAGGCUGAGGCAGGAGAAUCACUUGAACCUGGGGGGUGGGGGUUGCAGUGAGCUGAGAUUGCACCACUGCACUCCAGCCUGGGCAACAGAGCGAGACUCCAUUUCAAAACAAAACAAAACAAAAAACAAAUUCCACAGGCUGUAAUGUGUGUGUAUUGCACUGCAUGUAAGUCAUGCCUUAAUCAGUUCUGCUAGCAUGAAAAAAAAAAAAAAAGGAAGGAGGAUAGAGGGGAGUGGUAGGGACCAGCAUCCACAUAGAAGCUCAAAUCAGCAAGUGUUUACCACUUCUGGGAAGCAUGUUGUUGCCAAAACACAGGGGCGCUAAGUGGAGCAACAUCUCAAGGAACGAGUCUUUGAAAGUUCUUCCAAGGCCUCUCAUUCUGCCACCCCGCAGGCGGGCAACAGAAGCAGGACCCCUCCCUGCUGCAGGCAAAAAGGCAAAAAUCUCUAAGGAUAUGCAAUGCUCUUCCAGGUUUACUAGGUAAAGACUUCACCUCAAGCGUAUACAUAGAAUCCCAUUUUUGUUGAAAAUAUACAUGUAUGUAUGCCAGUAUGGUUCAUUCCGCCUGUGAG